GGUUAAGCGACUAAGCGUACACGGUGGAUGCCCUGGCAGUCAGAGGCGAUGAAGGACGUGCUAAUCUGCGAUAAGCGUCGGUAAGGUGAUAUGAACCGUUAUAACCGGCGAUUUCCGAAUGGGGAAACCCAGUGUGAUUCGUCACACUAUCAUUAACUGAAUCCAUAGGUUAAUGAGGCGAACCGGGGGAACUGAAACAUCUAAGUACCCCGAGGAAAAGAAAUCAACCGAGAUUCCCCCAGUAGCGGCGAGCGAACGGGGAGCAGCCCAGAGCCUGAAUCAGUGUGUGUGUUAGUGGAAGCGUCUGGAAAGGCGCGCGAUACAGGGUGACAGCCCCGUACACAAAAAUGCACAUGCUGUGAGCUCGAUGAGUAGGGCGGGACACGUGGUAUCCUGUCUGAAUAUGGGGGGACCAUCCUCCAAGGCUAAAUACUCCUGACUGACCGAUAGUGAACCAGUACCGUGAGGGAAAGGCGAAAAGAACCCCGGCGAGGGGAGUGAAAAAGAACCUGAAACCGUGUACGUACAAGCAGUGGGAGCACAGAGCAAUCUGUGUGACUGCGUACCUUUUGUAUAAUGGGUCAGCGACUUAUAUUCUGUAGCAAGGUUAACCGAAUAGGGGAGCCGAAGGGAAACCGAGUCUUAACUGGGCGUUAAGUUGCAGGGUAUAGACCCGAAACCCGGUGAUCUAGCCAUGGGCAGGUUGAAGGUUGGGUAACACUAACUGGAGGACCGAACCGACUAAUGUUGAAAAAUUAGCGGAUGACUUGUGGCUGGGGGUGAAAGGCCAAUCAAACCGGGAGAUAGCUGGUUCUCCCCGAAAGCUAUUUAGGUAGCGCCUCGUGAAUUCAUCUCCGGGGGUAGAGCACUGUUUCGGCAAGGGGGUCAUCCCGACUUACCAACCCGAUGCAAACUGCGAAUACCGGAGAAUGUUAUCACGGGAGACACACGGCGGGUGCUAACGUCCGUCGUGAAGAGGGAAACAACCCAGACCGCCAGCUAAGGUCCCAAAGUCAUGGUUAAGUGGGAAACGAUGUGGGAAGGCCCAGACAGCCAGGAUGUUGGCUUAGAAGCAGCCAUCAUUUAAAGAAAGCGUAAUAGCUCACUGGUCGAGUCGGCCUGCGCGGAAGAUGUAACGGGGCUAAACCAUGCACCGAAGCUGCGGCAGCGACGCUGAUGCGUUGUUGGGUAGGGGAGCGUUCUGUAAGCCUGCGAAGGUGUGCUGUGAGGCAUGCUGGAGGUAUCAGAAGUGCGAAUGCUGACAUAAGUAACGAUAAAGCGGGUGAAAAGCCCGCUCGCCGGAAGACCAAGGGUUCCUGUCCAACGUUAAUCGGGGCAGGGUGAGUCGACCCCUAAGGCGAGGCCGAAAGGCGUAGUCGAUGGGAAACAGGUUAAUAUUCCUGUACUUGGUGUUACUGCGAAGGGGGGACGGAGAAGGCUAUGUUGGCCGGGCGACGGUUGUCCCGGUUUAAGCGUGUAGGCUGGUUUUCCAGGCAAAUCCGGAAAAUCAAGGCUGAGGCGUGAUGACGAGGCACUACGGUGCUGAAGCAACAAAUGCCCUGCUUCCAGGAAAAGCCUCUAAGCAUCAGGUAACAUCAAAUCGUACCCCAAACCGACACAGGUGGUCAGGUAGAGAAUACCAAGGCGCUUGAGAGAACUCGGGUGAAGGAACUAGGCAAAAUGGUGCCGUAACUUCGGGAGAAGGCACGCUGAUAUGUAGGUGAAGUCCCUCGCGGAUGGAGCUGAAAUCAGUCGAAGAUACCAGCUGGCUGCAACUGUUUAUUAAAAACACAGCACUGUGCAAACACGAAAGUGGACGUAUACGGUGUGACGCCUGCCCGGUGCCGGAAGGUUAAUUGAUGGGGUCAGCGCAAGCGAAGCUCUUGAUCGAAGCCCCGGUAAACGGCGGCCGUAACUAUAACGGUCCUAAGGUAGCGAAAUUCCUUGUCGGGUAAGUUCCGACCUGCACGAAUGGCGUAAUGAUGGCCAGGCUGUCUCCACCCGAGACUCAGUGAAAUUGAACUCGCUGUGAAGAUGCAGUGUACCCGCGGCAAGACGGAAAGACCCCGUGAACCUUUACUAUAGCUUGACACUGAACAUUGAGCCUUGAUGUGUAGGAUAGGUGGGAGGCUUUGAAGUGUGGACGCCAGUCUGCAUGGAGCCGACCUUGAAAUACCACCCUUUAAUGUUUGAUGUUCUAACGUUGACCCGUAAUCCGGGUUGCGGACAGUGUCUGGUGGGUAGUUUGACUGGGGCGGUCUCCUCCUAAAGAGUAACGGAGGAGCACGAAGGUUGGCUAAUCCUGGUCGGACAUCAGGAGGUUAGUGCAAUGGCAUAAGCCAGCUUGACUGCGAGCGUGACGGCGCGAGCAGGUGCGAAAGCAGGUCAUAGUGAUCCGGUGGUUCUGAAUGGAAGGGCCAUCGCUCAACGGAUAAAAGGUACUCCGGGGAUAACAGGCUGAUACCGCCCAAGAGUUCAUAUCGACGGCGGUGUUUGGCACCUCGAUGUCGGCUCAUCACAUCCUGGGGCUGAAGUAGGUCCCAAGGGUAUGGCUGUUCGCCAUUUAAAGUGGUACGCGAGCUGGGUUUAGAACGUCGUGAGACAGUUCGGUCCCUAUCUGCCGUGGGCGCUGGAGAACUGAGGGGGGCUGCUCCUAGUACGAGAGGACCGGAGUGGACGCAUCACUGGUGUUCGGGUUGUCAUGCCAAUGGCACUGCCCGGUAGCUAAAUGCGGAAGAGAUAAGUGCUGAAAGCAUCUAAGCACGAAACUUGCCCCGAGAUGAGUUCUCCCUGACUCCUUGAGAGUCCUGAAGGAACGUUGAAGACGACGACGUUGAUAGGCCGGAUGUGUAAGCGCAGCGAUGCGUUGAGCUAACCGGUACUAAUGAACCGUGAGGCUUAACCUU
rnacentral:rRNA from 1 species